rnacentral:piRNA from 1 species
CCCGUUUAAAUGUAUGGGCCGGUCAAA